GACAGAGGGUGCGAACGUUGUUCGGAAUUACUGGGCGUAAAGCGCAUGUAGGCGGCAGCGCAAGUCGGGCGUGAAAUCCCACGGCUCAACCGUGGAAGUGCACUCGAAACUGCGCAGCUAGAGUCCUGGAGAGGAGGGUGGAAUGCUUGGUGUAGAGGUGAAAUUCGUAGAUAUCAAGCGGAACACCGGUGGCGAAGGCGGCCUUCAGGACAGUGACGUGACGGCUGAGGCGCGAAAGCGUGGGGAGCAAACAGGG
rnacentral:rRNA from 1 species